AGUGAACGCUGGCGGUAGGCCUAACACAUGCAAGUCGAACGGCAGCACAGUAAGAGCUUGCUCUUACGGGUGGCGAGUGGCGGACGGGUGAGGAAUACAUCGGAAUCUACUUUUUCGUGGGGGAUAACGUAGGGAAACUUACGCUAAUACCGCAUACGACCUACGGGUGAAAGCAGGGGAUCUUCGCACCUUGCGCGAUUGAAUGAGCCGAUGUCGGAUUAGCUAGUUGGCGGGGUAAGGGCCCACCAAGGCGACGAUCCGUAGCUGGUCUGAGAGGGUGAUCAGCCACACUGGAACUGAGACACGGUCCAGACUCCUACGGGAGGCAGCAGUGGGGAAUAUUGGACAAUGGGCGCAAGCCUGAUCCAGCCAUACCGCGUGGGUGAAGAAGGCCUUCGGGUUGUAAAGCCCUUUUGUUGGGAAAGAAAAUCAGCAGGUUAAUACCCCGCUGUUCUGACGGUACCCAAAGAAUAAGCACCGGCUAACUUCGUG
rnacentral:rRNA from 1 species